rnacentral:rRNA from 1 species
GACAGUGGUGCAUGGUUGUCGUCAGCUCGUGUCGUGACGAUGUUGGGUUAAGUCCCGCAACGAGCGCAACCCUCGACCUUAGUUGCCAGCAUUCAGUUGGGCACUCUAAGGUGACUGCCGGCUAAAAGUCGGAGGAAGGUGGGGAUGACGUCAAAUCAUCAUGCCCCUUAUGACCUGGGCUACACACGUGCUACAAUGGGCGGUACAAAGGGUCGCGAACCCGCGAGGGGGAGCCAAUCCCAAAAAAGCCGCUCUCAGUUCGGAUUGCAGGCUGCAACUCGCCUGCAUGAAGCCGGAAUCGCUAGUAAUCGCGGAUCAGCAUGCCCGCGGUCGAAUACGUUCCCGGGCCUU